rnacentral:rRNA from 1 species
AGUGAACGCUGGCGGUAGGCCUAACACAUGCAAGUCGAACGGUAGCACAGAGGAGCUUGCUCCUUGGGUGACGAGUGGCGGACGGGUGAGGAAUGCAUCGGAAUCUACUCUUUCGUGGGGGAUAACGUAGGGAAACUUACGCUAAUACCGCAUACGACCUACGGGUGAAAGCAGGGGACCUUUUAGGCCUUGCGCGAUUGAAUGAGCCGAUGUCCGAUUAGCUAGUUGGCGGGGUAAUGGCCCACCAAGGCGACGAUCGGUAGCUGGUCUGAGAGGAUGAUCAGCCACACUGGAACUGAGACACGGUCCAGACUCCUACGGGAGGCAGCAGUGGGGAAUAUUGGACAAUGGGCGCAAGCCUGAUCCAGCCAUACCGCGUGGGUGAAGAAGGCCUUCGGGUUGUAAAGCCCUUUUGUUGGGAAAGAAAAGCAGCCGGCUAAUACCCGGUUGUUCUGACGGUACCCAAAGAAUAAGCACCGGCUAACUACGUGCCAGCCGCCGCAGUAAGAC